rnacentral:rRNA from 1 species
GAUAAACGCUGGCGGCGCACAUAAGACGUGCAAGUCGAACGGACUUAACCAUUAGUUUACUAUUGGAGCGGUUAGUGGCGGACUGGUGAGUAACGCGUAAGCAAUCUGCCUAUCAGAGGGGGACAACAGUUGGAAACGACUGCUAAUACCGCAUAAGCCCACAGGUCGGCAUCGACCAGAGGGAAAAGGAGCAAUCCGCUUUGAGAUGGCCUCGCGUCCGAUUAGCUAGUUGGUGAGGUAACGGCCCACCAAGGCGACGAUCGGUAGCCGGACUGAGAGGUCGAACGGCCACAUUGGGACUGAGACACGGCCCAG